GACGAACGCUGGCGGCGUGCUUAACACAUGCAAGUCGAACGGAAAGGCCCUGCUUUUGUGGGGUGCUCGAGUGGCGAACGGGUGAGUAACACGUGAGUAACCUGCCCUUGACUUUGGGAUAACUUCAGGAAACUGGGGCUAAUACCGGAUAGGAGCUCCUGCUGCAUGGUGGGGGUUGGAAAGUUUCGGCGGUUGGGGAUGGACUUGCGGCUUAUCAGCUUGUUGGUGGGGUAGUGGCUUACCAAGGCUUUGACGGGUAGCCGGCCUGAGAGGGUGACCGGCCACAUUGGGACUGAGAUACGGCCCAGACUCCUACGGGAGGCAGCAGUGGGGAAUAUUGCACAAUGGGCGGAAGCCUGAUGCAGCAACGCCGCGUGCGGGGUGACGGCCUUCGGGUUGUAAACCGCUUUCGCCUGUGACGAAGCGUGAGUGACGGUAAUGGGUAAAGAAGCACCGGCUAACUACGUG
rnacentral:rRNA from 1 species